rnacentral:rRNA from 1 species
UACGGAGGAUCCAAGCGUUAUCCGGAAUUACUGGGCGUAAAGAGUUGCGUAGGUGGCAUAGUAAGUUGAUAGUGAAAUCCUGGGGCUCAACCCCUUACCCAUUAUCAAAACUGCUAAGCUAGAGGACGAGAGAGGUACCUGGAAUUCCCAGUGUAGGAGUGAAAUCCGUAGAUAUUGGGAGGAACACCGAUGGCGUAAGCAGGGUACUGGCUCGUUCCUGACACUAAGGCACGAAAGCGUGGGUAGCAAACGGG